UUUUUCUUUUUGUUUUUUUGGGAUACGAUUGCUUUCAAGCAAUCUGUAGACUUAUACCGGUGGCUCAGAGCAAUUUCCCUCACGUCAAUCGUUUUAUUCAAAACAUUAAGGAACAUCUCAGAUUCUUAUGAUUGUCUUGCUUUAAAAGGUAAAAACAAACAAAGGGAUUGAACUUAAUCAACUUUCCUAUAAUGUUCUUUUCAUAAUCUUCAUGUUUGAUAAUUCCCUUGACUUCGAUGCGUGUUUUUAACAACACGGAAAAUCAGAAUUAAGCAGUAUUUAUAUUUAGUGUAGUUAUAAAUUUAGAAACACGUCAGAGGGAAUUCCCAGUUUUGAUAAAAUGCGAGAGUUCUUUGAAUACCGAUAAAUCUAUUUCUGUCAUAUAAGAACUGAAGUGGAGUUUUUCUUAUAUGUUACCGUUAUGAAACUGAUAUUUGAGAUUGUACUUCCAUAAAGAAAUUGAGAACCAUCUAGGUCGUUUAAUAA
rnacentral:lncRNA from 1 species